UACGGGGGGGGCAAGCGUUGUUCGGAAUUACUGGGCGUAAAGGGCUCGUAGGCGGCCAACUAAGUCAGACGUGAAAUCCCUCGGCUUAACCGGGGAACUGCGUCUGAUACUGGAUGGCUCGAGUUUGGGAGAGGGAUGCGGAAUUCCAGGUGUAGCGGUGAAAUGCGUAGAUAUCUGGAGGAACACCGGUGGCGAAGGUGGCAUCCUGGACCAACACUGACGCUGAUGAGCGAAAGCCAGGGGAGCAAACGGG
rnacentral:rRNA from 1 species